rnacentral:misc_RNA from 1 species
GAUGAAGAACGUAGCGAAAUGCGAUAAGUAAUGCGAAUUGCAGAAUUUCCGUGAGUCAUCGAAUCUUUGAACGCACAUUGCGCCCACUGGUAUUCCGGUGGGCAUGCCUGUUCGAGCGUCAUUAUCCUCCCUCAAACCUCGGGUUUGGUGUUGGACCCAAGUUGUGUGAACAACUGGUCUCAAAGACAAUGACGGCGUCCGUGGGACCCUCGGUGCAACGAGCUUUUAAACGAGCACGCGUCGAGUUUCAAGGACCUUCCGGGCCGGUCUCCUUCUUUUAUUUACAAAGGUUGACCUCGGAUCAGGUAGGAAUACCCGCUGAACUUAAGCACAUCAAUAAGCGGAGGA